rnacentral:rRNA from 1 species
GAUGAACGCUGGCGGCGUGCCUAAUACAUGCCAGUCGAGCGAACGGACGAGAAGCUUGCUUUUCUGAUGUUAGCGGCGGACGGGUGAGUAACACGUGGAUAACCUACCUAUAAGACUGGGAUAACUUCGGGGAACCGGAGCUAAUACCGGAUAAUAUUUUGAACCGCAUGGUUCAAAAGUGAAAGACGGUCUUGCUGUCACUUAUAGAUGGAUCCGCGCUGCAUUAGCUAGUUGGUAAGGUAACGGCUUACCAAGGCAACGAUGCAUAGCCGACCUGAGAGGGUGAUCGGCCACACUGGAACUGAGACACGGUCCAGACUCCUACGGGAGGCAGCAGUAGGGAAUCUUCCGCAAUGGGCGAAAGCCUGACGGAGCAACGCCGCGUGAGUGAUGAAGGUCUUCGGAUCGUAAAACUCUGUUAUUAGGGAAGAACAUAUGUGUAAGUAACUGUGCACAUCUUGACGGUACCUAAUCAGAAAGCCACGGCUAACUACGUG